rnacentral:rRNA from 1 species
ACUCAAAGGAAUUGACGGGCACCCGCACAAGUGGUGGAGCAUGCUGUUUAAUUCGAAAAUACGCGAAGAACCUUACCAGGGCUUGACAUGUUUUUGAAAGCUCUAGAAAUAGAGUCUUCUCUUCGGAGACAGAAUCACAGAUGGUGCAUGGUUGUCGUCAGCUCGUGUCGUGAGAUGUUCGGUUAGGUCCGAUAACGAGCGCAACCCCUGUCCUUAAUUGCUAACAUUUAGUUGAGAACCUUAAGGAGACUGCCGGUGAUAAACCGGAGGAAGGUGGGGAUGAGGUCAAAUCAUCAUGCCUCUUACGUCCUGGGCUACAGGCGUGCUACAAUGGUCAUUAUAAAAAGACGCAAUAUCGCGAGAUGGAGCAAAUCUUAAAAAGUGGCCUCAGUUCGGAUUGAAGUCUGCAACUCGACUUCAUGAAGCUGGAAUCACUAGUAAUCGUGGAUCAGAAUGCCACGGUGAAUACGUUCCCGGGUGUUGUACACACCGCCCGU